GAUGAACGCCGGCGGCGUGCCUAACACAUGCAAGUCGAACGAUGAAACCGCCCUCGGGCGGACAUGAAGUGGCGAACGGGUGAGUAACACGUGACCAACCUGCCCCUUGCUCCGGGACAACCUUGGGAAACCGAGGCUAAUACCGGAUACUCCUCGCCCCCCUCCUGGGGGGCCCGGGAAAGCCCAGACGGCAAGGGAUGGGGUCGCGGCCCAUUAGGUAGUAGGCGGGGUAACGGCCCACCUAGCCCGCGAUGGGUAGCCGGGUUGAGAGACCGACCGGCCACAUUGGGACUGAGAUACGGCCCAGACUCCUACGGGAGGCAGCAGUGGGGAAUUUUGCGCAAUGGGGGCAACCCUGACGCAGCAACGCCGCGUGCGGGACGACGGCCUUCGGGUUGUAAACCGCUUUCAGCAGGGAAGAAAUUCGACGGU
rnacentral:rRNA from 1 species